UGGCCCCUCUCCCACAACCACAAAGGGCCUGGCCAGGGCCCCACACACCUGGGAGCCAGCCUCCUCCACCCCUCCGUCACCGCAGCCUGGCUCUCAGCUCUCCGCGCCCAGACUCACUGUGCCUCUUCCAGAAAGGAAACUGAGGAGCCCUUUUGGUUCUUCAGACCUCGGAGAGAGCGAGGGCAUCAAUUAGGACUCCUGGAGGGCCCUGGGGUCCUGAAAUGAUGGGCCGGUGCCGUGGCUGCUGCUCUCUCGACCAACCACCACCUCCCCAGGCUGUGUCUCAGGGAGAGGGCAGAGGAAGGCGGUGGGAAAGGCGGGAGGAGGUGACACACCAGACGCUAGUUAGUCCUCAUCUGCCCCUCGCAGGUGGGGGCGUCGGCCCUUCAGCCCCAGACACCGUGCUUGACACCAGGUGUGCACGCUCGAGCAGAGGCACCCACACCCACGCAUGCGUGUGCCGCUCCUGUGACACCAUGGCUCCCUGCGAACCGGACUGCUGGAGCCCCUCUGCACCCACACCACGGCCCACGCAGAGUUGGUGGCAGCAGUGGAUUCUGGCGUGAACUUCCACCAGCAUUUGGGGAUCAGAAACACAGGUGUGGUACCCAUGGGAACCCCAUUUUGAUCCUUUCUUGCCAUUUCCGAGGGCCAUGGGUAAGUUCUUCUUGGUCCUGAGCUCUGCCCCCUGCAUUGAGGACCUGAUCUAACUGGCUUUCCAAUACACGGCUGGUCAGCUUGAGCUGGCAGACAGUUCCACCUGGAGCCAAGCCCCUAGCCUUUCAGACCAAACUCCCAGGUUUCUGAUGGAAGACCCUCAACCCUUAGUUCUGUCCAAAGAUCCGCAUAGGAACUGUUCACGUCAUGCACAGUUCUCCAUCCAUGCACAGCCCCCAGCCCACAGUUUGGAGCCGCUGGUUCAAGGUGACAUAACUCCUACUGCUUCCCUCUAUCCUCCUCUCAGUGCUCAGUCUAGUAAUCCUCCAUCCAAAUGGCCUUUCCACUCCAGAGACUAUUAAACGUUUAUUUAUCUUUUGAAAUAAUACCACCAACCACUACAGGUGAGUCUCUCAGGUAUCUUUCACUCCUCAGUCAAAGGCCAAUCUAAGGGCCAUGGUCAUGUUGUCCCUUCAUUUCCCAAUCUAAGCCACUGGUUAUUGAUCUUUGGGGGUGACUCUAGGUCUUAUGAAGAUGAUAUCUUCUGCACCCUCUUUAAGGAUGCCUCUCAGGUCCAUGGGGUUGUUUAAUACUGCCAGAAAUACUUGACAUUUUGUAACUGAGUCCAACCUGGUUAUGCUCAAUGAACAACAAGCCAGUUGGGGUAGGGAAAGCCAGCAAAACCAGGAGAUAGCAGACUACUGUCCCAAAGAACCAUUUCCCCUGGGCAUGAAUUUUGAGCUUCUUUUUAAGUUAGCAAAAGGAGGGAGAAGGAAGGUGCUGGAGUCCAAGGUGACUGGCAUCUGUAGACAUCCAAGGAAAGUCCUGUAAUUUCUUUGCACCUGUUCAUUUGAUCUUUGUGUGUAGGAAUCCGAUCAUGUCACUCCUGUAGAUAUUAAACAUUGCAUAGUCAUUUCUGUACUCACUUCCUUAUCUCCUUGAAUGAGGCUGAUUUCGGGGAAAACACUUUUUUGCAAAUCUCAGCUAUAAACAAAAUUUCUUUGAUGACUAACAUGCCUAUGUGCAGGGCUAAGCAGAAGUUUCCAAGCUCUGUGUCACAGCAGCAAGGGAAAUGGAAGCAACAUGGAGUCAGACAUGCUAAGUCUCUCCCUGUGACAGUUUGUCCCAGCUAAACACUGACAAGAUAUGUGAAGAAAUGUGGAAUACUAUUAUUUCAAAACAUGCUGUCCAUGGUCACCUCUUCCUUGGAGCCUUCCUUGAUCUGCAGCCUCAGCAGGCAAUUCUUUGUCCAGAUCACAAGACAGAUGCACACAUGGCCCCUGCUAACCUGUGACAUCCUCAGAGCCAAGUACAGAGACAGGAUCACCGUCCUUCCCCGAGCAUCUAGCACAGCACCGGCACACAGGCCUCGAGCUCUUAGAACCCCCCAAUAGAAUUGCCUGAGAAUCUUCUUAGAAGCGCAGGCCCCACCUCAGAGACUCUUGAUUCAGAAGGUUAGAUGUGGUGCCCAGGGAGCCGCAUGCUGAGUAACUGCUUCAGGCAAUUCUAAUGAUGUAGCCACUGAAAGGACUGCCAAGUCUGGUCUUAGGGGCCAUUAAGGACCUGCAUUUCCCCCACAGGCCCUCCUGAUUGUGGUCCCCAAGUCAAUAAACUCUGAGUAAAUGAGUAAACCCAUUUCUGA